rnacentral:lncRNA from 1 species
GACAGCUAAUCCAGGAGGGAGGCUGGAGGGAGAUGAAGACGUCGAGUCUAGAUAUGAAUUAGUUCAGUCCCAUGGAGUCCUUGAGCCAGGCUGAGGGAAAGCAGCGCAAGUUCAGGGCUAUGACUUCAACCUGAGACCAAAAGGAGGACUACAUAUGGAAAGUGCUCAGAACACCACCUCCGGACACAGCAAGAAGUCCCGGAUUUCUACCCUGCAACCCCCUACCUCUGGAAUGUUAGAAGGUCUGUGCAUUUGAUCCCAGUACCUUCUGUACCAAAAGCUCCAUCUUAGGUCCUAGUCCAUAAGGAAGUACUUUAAUCAGGAAGCAAGUGCUUCCGGGUCACCGCCAUCCCUAAGGGGUCACUAUGACAACUUCUGGCCAAUCCGAGUUCUGCAUUGCCCUGGCCUCCAGGGACCUGGUGCCAGAUUGGUCAAAAGACCCAAAGAUCCUUGAAUCUGUGGGGGGAAAGAGGCUCUCUGGUCAGGAAGACUUCUCAAGCCAGGAAUGUACAGCUCUUUGCUAGCCUAGCUGUGGGUAAAAAGCAGAUACACUGAGGUUGGAGAGAGGGCUGAGUCAGGUAUUUAGUGGACUUGCGUUUGGUUCCCAACAACCAAUGGCAGUUUAAACCAUCUAUAAAUAACUCCAGUUCCCAGGACCUGUCGCUCUCUUCUGGCCUCUGUGGGCACCAGGCACAAGUAUGGGGUGUAGCUGAAACACACACACAUAUAAAAUAAAAAUAA